GAAAUAUAGAAUUUCCAAAUUAUUUAAAGUAUGUAAAAAAAAUGAGGGAGGGGCCAAGAUGACAGGGUAGAGAGACUCAUAGCUCACACUCUCCCACAAACACACCAAGAAUUACAUCUACAAACCCAUUGAAUCACACAGAUCACCUACUGAACUCUGUCAGAGUGUCUCUCAUUUCAAAAUAUAGGAAGAUUCUCACCAAAUCUGGUAAGAAAGAAAAAUGAAAAAAAUAAGAAAAAAAAAUUAGUU